rnacentral:rRNA from 1 species
UUGGGGAAUAUUGGACAAUGGGCGAAAGCCUGAUCCAGCCAUGCCGCGUGUGUGAAGAAGGUCUUCGGAUUGUAAAGCACUUUAAGUUGGGAGGAAGGGCAGUAAGUUAAUACCUUGCUGUUUUGACGUUACCGACAGAAUAAGCACCGGCUAACUUCGUGCCAGCAGCCGCGGUAAUACGAAGGGUGCAAGCGUUAAUCGGAAUUACUGGGCGUAAAGCGCGCGUAGGUGGUUUUGUAAGUUGGAGGUGAAAUCCCCGGGCUCAACCUGGGAACUGCCUCCAAAAAUGCAUGACUAGAGUACGGUAGAGGGUAGUGGAAUUUCCUGUGUAGCGGUGAAAUGCGUAGAUAUAGGAAGGAACACCAGUGGCGAAGGCGACUACCUGGACUGAUACUGACACUGAGGUGCGAAAGCGUGGGGAGCAAACAGGAUUAGAAACCCUGGUAGUCC